rnacentral:lncRNA from 7 species
UUUUCGUCUUUUCUUCCGCUCUUUUGGAAAGGAUCGGAGGGAAAACACCGCUGGUGUUGCAGGGGGUGGCACGCUGGCUGGUCGCUUCCGAAGCGGGGCUGAUGUUACUUGGUGCCGCUGGUUGCAUGGAGCCGCUUUUAGCACUCUUGAAAACAUGACUGUCUUUGAUAGUCUUAAAAGCACUGCUAACUCUUCUACUUUGUGAGCACUGGCAAAAACAAUCUCAGCUGCCCCAGCACCUCUAGAAGUGGCUAACAGAAGCAAUGCUGUCUGAAAGCAGGCCCACUACCACUGGAUAGGAAGACAGGUGAUCAAGUGAUAUCUACGGUAACUGUAGCAGGUUUCACCACAAGGAUUCUGUUGUGCUUGAAGCCUUAUCCUUUCUGGGUGAUGUAAAGGCUCUGCAGAGCAUACUCAGAAGAACAUCGUAAAGCUGCAUUGCUGCAAUGGUUUGAAGCCAGAUCACGUUUUCCAGGAGCUUUAUUGCAAAACCAGAAUUAAAGCUCAGCCUAUUCGAUCUGUUUGUAUCAAUAAAACAGUCAAGAAAAUGCUGAUGACAGUUGAACUAUUGGAAGUUUAUCAAGUUUUAUGGACUAAUGGAAUGUAGAUCACCAGUACUUACGUUAAUAAUGAUUUUAUAGUACUAUUUUUAAACAAAGUCAUAGAUUAUCAGAUCUAUUCUUUAAUUCUCUGUAUUUUUUUUUUUUAAUAUUGAACUCAGAAGUUCCAACAGAUGCAGUUUGCUUAUUGAGGAAAAACAUGUUAAUAAAAGAUUAACUGGAGAAUAG